GACGAACGCUGGCGGCGUGCUUAACACAUGCAAGUCGAACGGGAAGGCGUAAAUAUGGGGUUCUCGGGUGGAGAGCUAAUGAGUAACACGUACGUAACCUACCCUUGACUUUGGGAUAACUUCGGCAGACUGGUGGUCAUACCAGAUCGGAGCUACUGCUGCAUGGAAGGGGUGGGAAAGUUUCGGUGGUUGGGGAUGGACUCGCGGCUUAUCAGCUUGUUGGUGGGGUAGUGGCUCACCAAGGCUUUGACGGGUAGCCGGCCUGCGAGGGGGACCGGCCACAUUGGGACUGAGAUACGGCCCAGACUACUACGGGAGGCAGCAGUGGGGAAUAUUGCACAACGGGCGGAAGGCUGAUGCAGCAACGCCGCGUGCGGGAUGACGGCCUUCGGGUUGUAAACCGAUUUCGCCUGUGACGAAGCGUGAGUGACGGUAAUGGGUAAAGAAGCACCGGCUAACUACGUG
rnacentral:rRNA from 1 species